rnacentral:rRNA from 1 species
UACGUAGGGGGCGAGCGUUGUCCGGAUUCAUUGGGCGUAAAGCGCGCGUAGGCGGCCCCGCAAGUCGGCCGUGAAAUCUCCGGGCUCAACUCGGAGGGGUCGGGCGAGACUGCGAGGCUCGAGGUGGGCAGAGGGCAGUGGAAUUCCGGGUGUAGUGGUGGAAUGCGUAGAGAUCCGGAGGAACACCAGUGGCGAAGGCGGCUGCCUGGGCCUGGGCCUGAACG